GAUGAACGCUGGCGGCGUGCCUAAUACAUGCAAGUCGAGCGAACAGACGAGGAGCUUGCUCCUCUGACGUUAGCGGCGGACGGGUGAGUAACACGUGGAUAACCUACAUAUAAGACUGGGAUAACUUCGGGAAACCGGAGCUAAUACCGGAUAAUAUAUUGAACCGCAUGGUUCAAUAGUGAAAGACGGUUUUGCUGUCACUUAUAGAUGGAUCCGCGCCGCAUUAGCUAGUUGGUAAGGUAACGGCUUACCAAGGCAACGAUGCGUAGCCGACCUGAGAGGGUGAUCAGCCACACUGGAACUGAGACACGGUCCAGACUCCUACGGGAGGCAGCAGUAGGGAAUCUUGCACAAUGGGCGAAAGCCUGACGGAGCAACGCCGCGUGAGUGAUGAAGGUCUUCGGAUCGUAAAACUCUGUUAGUAGGGAAGAACAAAAGUAUAAGUAACUAUGCACGUCUUGACGGUACCUAAUCAGAAAGCCACGGCUAACUACGUG
rnacentral:rRNA from 1 species